CUGCCGGCCGCGGUGCCUCCCCUCCUCGCUCGCACGCUCGCUCUUCUUCCCUUUUUCUUCCGCUGCUGCCGCCGAGUCGCACGCUAGCACACACACACUCACAUGCACGCAGAGGGAGAGUUGCUAAGAGGCUCUGCUCGUUUCAACCUGGUGCACUCUGAAAGAUCUGACACCCUCUGCUGAGCUGCAGUGGCAAAAAUCCAUCUGCUGAGGGAAUGCUGGAGAAAAAAAAAAUCAAUCCACGUACAGGGCAAGCGUUAAAAACGCUGGCAUUAAAGCUGUCGGUCUAUUUAGAUGCUUUCUCCCAAGCUGAUUAUUUAAUUUAUUUCUUCUCUUUUAAGAUGGAAAGUUUAGCAUUCCCCUUCUUCUGACUGAUUCCCUAUUGCCCCCAUUCACAUACACUCACACCUGCACGAGCAGCCAAGGAAGGUGCAUUUGACUUAAUGUGUUUCCCAAUGUCUUGAACUGAAUUAGUGUCAGGGUGUCAAGCGGAUAACAAUUUGAGUCAUCACUGGAUUUACGUGGCCGCCUCUGGAGGAUAUUCUUCUAGCAAAAGCAUCUGGGCCUCAUGACUGCUGAAAUGUGCUCAGAUGUCUGCUUUCUGCUUAUCCCAGGAACUAUAUACAGAAGAGGAACUAAGGACCAUGUUUUGACUUUUCAUGAACCUGAAGUGAAGAUACUGCUUUCACCUCAAGAUGACCAGC